AGUGAUGCACAGGUUUGAGACGGGGAACCAAAAGAACCUUAGUAGAUAUAGUAAAUAUAUGAAUGUAGAUAGGAAUUGUUUAAUAAUUAUCUAGCUUAUAAUGAAGUUAAAGAAAUUUCAAUAGAGGUAGACGUGGCCCAAGAGGAUGAGAAGUGGUGCUUAACG